GAAGCGAGCCAGGUCGUCGCCGGUGCUGCCCUCGGGCGGCACGGGAGGAAGGUCCGGACUGCACAGGGCGGCGUAGCAGCUAACGGCUGUCCACCGCGAGGUGAGGAUCAGAGCAGCAGAGACGAGUCGGUGCGGCUGCCGAAAGGCGAGUGCACCGGGUGAAACGGGCAAUCUCUACGCGCAGCAAUACCAAAUAGGCCGGCGUCGGUCGGGGCUUCGGUUCCGGCCUGGAAG
rnacentral:RNase_P_RNA from 1 species